rnacentral:rRNA from 1 species
GAUGAACGCUAGCUACAGGCUUAACACAUGCAAGUCGAGGGACCGGCGCACGGGUGAGUAACACGUAUCCAACCUGCCCUUUACUCGGGGAUAGCCUUUCGCAAGAAAGAUUAAUACCCUAUGUCAAGGAUGGGGAUGCGUUCCAUUAGGUUGUUGGUGAGGUAACGGCUCGCCAAGCCUUCGAUGGAUAGGGGUGCGGAGAGGAAGGUACCCUACAUUGGAACUGAGACACGGUCUAAACUCCUACGGGACGCAGGAGUGAGGAAGAUUGGUCAAUGGGCGUUAGCCUGAACCAGCCAAGUAGCGUGAAGGAGGAAGGCUUAUGGGUCGUAAAUUUCUUUUAUAGAAGAAUAUGUAUUAUAUGAAUAAGCACCGGCUAACUCCGUGCCAGCCGCCGCGGUAAUUC